rnacentral:rRNA from 1 species
AGAGUUUGAUCAUGGCUCAGAUUGAACGCUGGCGGCAUGCCUUACACAUGCAAGUCGAACGCGAAAGGGGGCAACCCCGAGUAGAGCGGCGAACGGGUGAGCAAUACAUCGGAACGUGUCCUGUAGCGGGGGACAACACAUCGAAAGAUGUGCUAAUACCGCAUACGAUCUACGGAUGAAAGUGGGGGACCGCAAGGCCCCACACUAUAGGAGCGGCCGAUGCCGGAUUAGCUAGUUGGUGGGGUAACGGCCUACCAAGGCGACGAUCCGUAGCUGGUUUGAGAGAACGACCAGCCACACUGGGACUGAGACACGGCCCAGACUCCUACGGGAGGCAGCAGUGGGGAAUUUUGGACAAUGGGCGAAAGCCUGAUCCAGCCAUGCCGCGUGAGUGAAGAAGGCCUUCGGGUUGUAAAGCUCUUUCGGCGGGGACGAAAUUGCGCGGGGUAACAUCCCGCGUCGAUGACGGUACCCGAAGAAGAAGGACCGGCUAACUACGUGCCAGCAGCCGCGGUAAUACGUAGGGUCCAAGCGUUAAUCGGAAUUACUGGGCGUAAAGCGUGUGCAGGCGGUUUCGAAAGUCCGAUGUGAAAUCCCCGGGCUUAACCUGGGAACUGCGUUGGAAACUACGAGGCUAGAGUGCGGCAGAGGGGGGUGGAAUUCCAGGUGUAGCAGUGAAAUGCGUAGAGAUCUGGAGGAACACCGAUGGCGAAGGCAGCCCCCUGGGUUAGCACUGACGCUGAUACACGAAAGCGUGGGGAGCAAACAGGAUUAGAUACCCUGGUAGUCCACGCCCUAAACGAUGGCAACUAGUUGUUGGAGGAUGAACUCCUUUAGUAACGCAGCUAACGCGUGAAGUUGCCCGCCUGGGGAGUACGGUCGCAGAUUAAAACUCAAAGGAAUUGACGGGCCCGCACAAGCGGUGGAUGAUGUGGUUCAAUUCGAUGCAACGCGAAAACCUUACCUACCCUUGACAUGCCAGGAAG